AUUGAACGCUGGCGGCAUGCCUUACACAUGCAAGUCGAACGGUAACAGGUCUUCGGAUGCUGACGAGUGGCGAACGGGUGAGUAAUACAUCGGAACGUGCCCGAUCGUGGGGGAUAACGAAGCGAAAGCUUUGCUAAUACCGCAUAAGAUCUAAGGAUGAAAGCAGGGGACCGCAAGGCCUUGCGCGAACGGAGCGGCCGAUGGCAGAUUAGGUAGUUGGUGGGAUAAAAGCUUACCAAGCCGACGAUCUGUAGCUGGUCUGAGAGGACGACCAGCCACACUGGGACUGAGACACGGCCCAGACUCCUACGGGAGGCAGCAGUGGGGAAUUUUGGACAAUGGGCGAAAGCCUGAUCCAGCCAUGCCGCGUGCAGGAUGAAGGCCUUCGGGUUGUAAACUGCUUUUGUACGGAACGAAAAGACUCUGGUUAAUACCUGGGGUCCAUGACGGUACCGUAAGAAUAAGCACCGGCUAACUACGUGCCAGCCGCCGCCGUAACAC
rnacentral:rRNA from 1 species